ACUCCUACGGGAGGCAUCAGUGGGGAAUUUUCCGCAAUGGGCGAAAGCCUGACGGAGCAAUACCGCGUGAGGGAAGACUGCCUAUGGGUUGUAAACCUCUUUUUUCAGGGAGGAAUAAAAUGACGUGUACCUGAAGAAUAAGCAUCGGCUAACUCCGUGCCAGCAGCCGCGGUAAUAC
rnacentral:rRNA from 1 species